AACCUCCGCAAUGUGAGAAAUCGCGACGGGGGGAUCCCAAGUGCCAUUCUUAACGGGAUGGCUUUUCAUUAGUGUAAAGAGCUUUUGGAAUAAGGGCUGGGCAAGACCGGUGCCAGCCGCCGCGGUAACACCGGCAGCUCUAGUGGUAGCAGUUUUUAUUGGGCCUAAAGCGUCCGUAGCCGGUUUAAUAAGUCUCUGGUGAAAUCCUGUGGCUUAACUGUGGGAAUUGCUGGAGAUACUAUUAGACUUGAGACCGGGAGAGGUUAGAGGUACUCCCAGGGUAGAGGUGAAAUUCUGUAAUCCUGGGAGGACCGCCUGUUGCGAAGGCGUCUAACUGGAACGGUUCUGACGGUGAGGGACGAAAGUUAGGGGCGCGAACCGGAUUAGAUACCCGGGUAGUCCUAACUGUAAACGAUGCGGACUUGGUGUUGGGGUGGCUUUGAGCUGCUCCAGUGCCGAAGGGAAGCUGUUAAGUCCGCCGCCUGGGAAGUACGGUCGCAAGACUGAAACUUAGAGGAAUU
rnacentral:rRNA from 1 species